UACGUAGGGGGCAAGCGUUGUCCGGAUUUAUUGGGCGUAAAGAGCGUGUAGGCGGCUUGGUAGGUCUCGCGUCAAAACCUGAGGCUCAACCUCAGUUCGUGUGGGAAACCACCUAGCUAGAGUCCGGAAGAGGAGAACGGAAUUCCCAGUGUAGCGGUGAAAUGCGCAGAUAUUGGGAAGAACACCAGUGGCGAAGGCGGUUCUCUGGGACGGAACUGACGCUGAGACGCGAAAGCGUGGGGAGCCGAACAGG
rnacentral:rRNA from 1 species